CGCUCCUGCAGUUAAAAGGAUUCAAGUCUGUAACUGCUGGUCUUUUUUGUUUUGUUUCUCUUUCUGGGCGAUGAUGGCGUUUAUCAUCUUUAUCCUCCGGUUGGCCAUCUGCAUCCUGACAUUUCCCAUGUACCUGCUGAAUUUUCUGGGCUUGUGGAACUGGCUAUGGAAAAAGUGGUUCCCCUACUUUAGGAUGAGGUUCACUGUGGUGUAUAAUGAGAAGAUGAUGAGCAAGAAACGGGAGCUCUUCAGCAACCUGCAGGAAUUUGUGGGUCCCUCAGGGAAGCUCUUUCUGCUGGAGGUGGGCUGCGGCUCUGGGGCCAACUUCAGGUUCUAUCCCCCCGGCUGCCGGGUGACUUGUGUGGACCCCAAUCCCAACUUUGAGAAGCUCUUGAUCGAGAGUAUUGCCAAGACUCAACACCUGCAGUUUGAGCGCUUCGUGGUGGCUGCCGGGGAGAACAUGCACCAGGUGGCCGACAGCUCCGUGGACGUGGUGGUCUGUACCCUGGUCCUGUGCUCUGUGGAGAACCAGGAGCGGGUCCUGCAGGAAGUGUGCAGAGUGCUGAGACCGGGAGGGGCUUUUUAUUUUAUGGAGCAUGUAGCAGCUGGACGUUCAACCUGGAAUCACUUCUGGCAGCAGGUCCUGGAUCCAACCUGGAACCUUCUCUUUGAUGGAUGCAACCUGACCAGAGAGAGCUGGAAGACCCUGGAGAGAGCGGGUUUCUCCAAGCUGAAGCUGCAGCACUUACAGGCCCCCCUGUCCUGGGAGUUGGUGCGCCCUCACAUUUUCGGAUAUGCUGUGAAAUAGCAUGGCAGGGGCGCAGGGCUGAGUGGCUCAAUCACUAAGGCUUCAGCUUAACACAGAAGGCUACUUGGCAGAAAGGAAACCCCGGUUUGGUUAUUUGUUAUUAAGGGUCCUUCAAUCUACGGAGAUGACUCUAGCUGCAGUGGUUGCUCUGAUUCCGUUGUUUUAUAUUGCAACUGGCGAUACAUCACGCUACUACUUUGGGCGACAUCUAUGGUUCGGCUACUUUGCUGUGUAUGGGAUUGUGGUGUAUGUGACCAAAAUGCCCUGGAUCAGAAUUCUUGAAGAUUUCCAGUGCCAUGGAAACGUGACUUACUUCUGUGUUACUGAGUGUUUUGAAAAAUUUUUUACUAUUCCUGUCACAGGAAUUUGGUGCCACUUUUACUUUGUAUGCAUGGGCCUCUUCUUCCUUUUAGAAUUCUUCCUAGCCAAUAUCCAAUCUGACAAGAUGGAUGACAUUUUGGCAAGACCUAAGGGAAAUGAAGAGAACCAGGGGCUCAAGAUGGCAUUUCAGGAGCUGUCACCCUCUCCGACAAAAUCUCUGAGCUUCCGUCAUAAGAAGACUACCUUGAUUUUAUACUUUUUCUACUUAAUCAUGGUGAUGACCACACAGUGUAUGUUUUUAUUCUUUCUCUUGUACAAACAUCUGCCCCUGGUAAGCCAGUCUCCCAUUCGCUGCAGCGCUCAUUAUUGCCGGGGACCCUAUACCUGCCUGAUCAAGGGGACUGUGGAGAAGCAACACUCCAUUUACACACUCAUCAUCUUUUCCUUCAUAACUGUACUGUUUUGCUUGAGUUUCUCUCUUCACAGCAUUUAUUAUUACAUCUCAAAGAAUAUUU